GUCAACGGAUUGGGAGAAACAGCCCCGGUGCAGAGAUGCUUACCAUCUAACUUAGGACAAGACGCGACCGGUGUGUAUAAGUAGCAAGCAGAGUGGGGAGGAGGGGUGUUACUGAUUGGUGCUGAUUUUCUUGCUGCUUGGACGGAUGUGCUUGUGUUUCCCUUUGUGCAAAAUAUUGUUGUUGCUACUACAGUGGAGAAAAUGUGGCCCUUGGGCCAUGAUCCAUCAAGCAGGUGCAAAUGUUUCAAUGCGGCCCCUAUCUACUCCAUCCCAGAGGCUGGUCCAGAUU